rnacentral:rRNA from 1 species
AUGAUCCGCAAGAUAUUUCUUAUCAGCUCCCAAACAUCCAAAGGGUACGUCUCCAAGAGCUGCCACAACUCCAGCACUUCCACGAGAAUGACGCCACUAUCACAGCAUCAGCGUGGAACGAGCUCCACAUCCGAGGGUGCUGGAGUCUCCGACGCCUCCCGCGCCUACAAGGACGCCAGCCGGAGAUGGUGA